ACGGACAGCACGCCGCUGCGAGGAGUACGCCACCGGUCCGGCUCGGGGUGAAGCCGGGCAUCCGCGUCCGUAUCGCGGUGCCGGCCGGGCAACUCACGUCCGAACCCGACAGCUGACCUCGUAGGCGUCGGUGAGGGACACA
rnacentral:sRNA from 1 species